rnacentral:rRNA from 1 species
UACGGGGGGGGCAAGCGUUGUUCGGACUUACUGGGCGUAAAGGGCUUGUAGGUGGCCAACUAAGUCAGACGUGAAAUCCCUCGGCUUAACCGGGGAACUGCGUCUGAUACUGGAUGGCUUGAGUUCGGGAGAGGGAUGCGGAAUUCCAGGUGUAGCGGUGAAAUGCGUAGAUAUCUGGAGGAACACCGGUGGCGAAGGCGGCAUCCUGGACCGAUACUGACGCUGAGGAGCGAAAGCCAGGGGAGCAAACAGG